CCCACGUGUUUAAGAUUUGGGAGGAAAUAAUUCAAAUCAUUAAACGUUUGCAAGCAAAUGGCUCAAAAGAUGAGGCUUCCAGACAUCUAGGUCACUAGACGGCUUGUGCAAUAGCACACACUUUCUCCCCCAUUGGGUGGUAAGCACAAUGAGGGCAGGGGCCGUUUAUGCCCCCCUACCUAGCAGAUGAGAGACGGAGGGACGUCGGGGGCAGAGGACUGAGUCUGCGCAGACUGUUGCCCUCUCACAGAGGCCCCGCGAUUGAGGAGCUGCGCUUGCGCGAGGCUCCCGCGCGUGCGCAGAGGCAGCCGUCGUGGGCUGUCCUUGGGCCGUGGCGCAGCUGCAGGUAGGUGGUGGGACUUGCGAAGCUGAAGAUGGGGGCCGAGGCCGCGCAGCCUUCCGGGCGCCGCUGGACGAGGCCCGUGCCUUGAAGUUUCAAGAACACGAAGGCCAGCAGACCAAAUGCAUAGGAAGAUACAUAUUCACAGUUUCGGUUAUAGAGUUGGUCACCAGUCAUCCCGUGUGUAUAAUUUUUAUGUUAUAUUACAUUGAUUGUCAUAUAUUUGUUAUCACAUCAGCUUACUAUGUUUAUUAUAUUACACCACAUCACUGUUUUUCACCAUUUUGUAUACAACAGUUAUGUUCUGUUUGUGCAUGUUCAUACAUGUGUAUCUGCGUUCAUCUCUUCUUUGGUCUUGAGAUGAUACUGACAUGUGCUCACCUUGCUUUUCUCAUUGUACCCACUACCUAAUGCUCCUUUCUCCCCCCGUUCUGCUACUAUCACUGGAGAGUGAAAGGUACCUCAGUGGGUCCCAGCCUGGUAUUAUAUUUGGUUUUUUUUAUAGCUUUCAAUGACCUAUAAGUGCAGCACCCAGUGGCCAGUCUGGCAUAUGCCAGAUGAGCUGUCAGAGUAGGCCUCUGUCAGGCAAUACCAUAUUAUUACUAGAUUGCAGCACCUCAAUAUUGACAUUAAAUAUUUAAUUAAACUAAACUAUCAUGUAAUUAAAUAAUUUAAUUAGACAUUAAACCCUAUUCAUCCCUAAGAAUUUGGUGAAGUAAAUUGUUGGCUGAUUGUUUCAGUAAGUUAUUGAUGGAUAUGAUAAUAUCCAUUUGAUAAUAUUCAAAGAAAAUUGCCCAUUAUCACAUACACAGCAAGAUAUCCAUAUGUAGAAAAACAUUAAGGACCGUGGCAAAUUAAUUCUAUCUGCUCUAGCUCAGAAUAAGCAAAUCCCUGCCCCAGUAAAGAGUUGACUAAUUCUACUGUCUUUCAUUGCCUUAGUACCUCAUCAGAACAAAGUUUUUGACUAGCUCACACCUGUCUAACAGGUUUCAUUGUUUUUCUUUCUAAUUGGGCUUAUCAUCAAACCUCAGUAUUCAAUUGAAGUAAAAUUUUGUACAUAUGAGGGCAGUCACCCAGAACCUAUAAAAGGAAGCAUCAGAAAAAGCCAGGGGAGAUACCAUGGUGGUUACUCAGUGUGAAUUUGAGGAGUCUAAGUAGUGCAUGUUUUGACUUGUGUUUGGUGGGUGCUAAGGAUGCAGUGACAAAAACAGUCUAGGAGCCUCCGUGAUCCGAGGUGUGGUGGAAGUGGGGGCCAGAAUGAAAACAAAGACAACUUAGAGAGAUGGAGGAGAGAGAUGCCUGAGGGGAGAUGGGCAGGCCUUUAAGGAGAAGUGCUACUGGAUGUUAUCCUUGAAGACAGACAAGGAUUUGGAUGACAUAGUUAAGUUCAUUCUAGGACUGAGGGCAGAAC
ensembl:lncRNA